rnacentral:tRNA from 1 species
GAAAUAAUAUAUAUUAAGUUUCUAACUUUAAGUUAAAUGUUUAUUCAUUUUUAUUUCU